UACGUAGGGUGCGAGCGUUGUCCGGAAUUAUUGGGCGUAAAGGGCUCGUAGGCGGUUUGUCACGUCGGGAGUGAAAACUCGGGGCGUAACUCCGAGCCUGCUUCCGAUACGGGCUGACUAGAGGUAUGCAGGGGAGAACGGAAUUCCUGGUGUAGCGGUGAAAUGCGCAGAUAUCAGGAGGAACACCGGUGGCGAAGGCGGUUCUCUGGGCAUUACCUGACGCUGAGGAGCGAAAGUGUGGGGAGCGAACAGG
rnacentral:rRNA from 1 species